ACACAUAUUUAAUGAAAUUUACUUUCAAAUCCAGUUUCAUGAUUUUCAUUAUAGAAAACAAUUCAUUUUUUACAAUAAUGUAAUCCAUUUUUUCUUUAAAAUUAACUGCACCUUGACCUGACAUUUUAUUAAUAAAAUAAAUGAAAAUUAUUCUGAUAAAACAUUCUUGACAGAGGUAUACAAAUUUAUUUAAAGUAAGAUCUAUCGUGGAUUAUCAAUUAUAAAACAGAUUCCUCUGAUUAGAUAAAUUACCGCCAAAUUCUUUGAAUUUAAAGAUCAUAACUAUUAGUAAUCUAGUUAUUUUAUUUACACUCUCAAUAAUAGGGUAUC
rnacentral:rRNA from 2 species